AUUGAACGCUGGCGGCAGGCCUAACACAUGCCAGUCGAGCGGAUGAAGGGAGCUUGCUCCUGGAUUCAGCGGCGGACGGGUGAGUAAUGCCUAGGAAUCUGCCUGGUAGUGGGGGAUAACGUCCGGAAACGGGCGCUAAUACCGCAUACGUCCUGAGGGAGAAAGUGGGGGAUCUUCGGACCUCACGCUAUCAGAUGAGCCUAGGUCGGAUUAGCUAGUUGGUGGGGUAAAGGCCUACCAAGGCGACGAUCCGUAACUGGUCUGAGAGGAUGAUCAGUCACACUGGAACUGAGACACGGUCCAGACUCCUACGGGAGGCAGCAGUGGGGAAUAUUGGACAAUGGGCGAAAGCCUGAUCCAGCCAUGCCGCGUGUGUGAAGAAGGUCUUCGGAUUGUAAAGCACUUUAAGUUGGGAGGAAGGGCAGUAAGUUAAUACCUUGCUGUUUUGACGUUACCAACAGAAUAAGCACCGGUUAACUUCGUG
rnacentral:rRNA from 1 species